GACGAACGCUGGCGGCGUGCCUAAUACAUGCAAGUCGAGCGGAAGUUGGAGAGCUUGCUCUUCAACUUUAGCGGCGGACGGGUGAGUAACACGUGGGCAACCUGCCCUGCAGAUCGGGAUAACUCCGGGAAACCGGGGCUAAUACCGAAUAGUUAUCGCCACCUCCUGGAGGCGUACGGAAAGACGGUUUCGGCUGUCACUGCAGGAUGGGCCCGCGGCGCAUUAGCUAGUUGCUGGGGUAACGGCCCACCAAGGCGACGAUGCGUAGCCGACCUGAGAGGGUGAUCGGCCACACUGGGACUGAGACACGGCCCAGACUCCUACGGGAGGCAGCAGUAGGGAAUCUUCCGCAAUGGACGAAAGUCUGACGGAGCAACGCCGCGUGAGUGACGAAGGUUUUCGGAUCGUAAAACUCUGUUGUGAGGGAAGAACAAGUACCACUUAACUACUGGUACCUUGACGGUACCUCACCAGAAAGCCACGGCUAACUACGUGCCAGCAGCCGCAGUAAUAC
rnacentral:rRNA from 1 species